CAACUUUCUUGGAAAGUCAAACCAUCUCAAGUUUGACCAAAAUUAUGAAGAUUACAAAGAUUUAUGACACCAAAUAGGUAUAUUAUGAAAAUAUAUUUAAUGAAGAGUCUAAUAAUACUUAUUUGGUAUCAUAAAUGUUGGUACUUUAUUGUAUAUAUUUAGUCAAACUUGAGAUGCUUUGACUUUCCAAGAAAGUUGG
rnacentral:pre_miRNA from 1 species